rnacentral:rRNA from 1 species
GUGGGGAAUCUUGCGCAAUGGGCGAAAGCCUGACGCAGCCAUGCCGCGUGAAUGAUGAAGGUCUUAGGAUUGUAAAAUUCUUUCACCGGGGACGAUAAUGACGGUACCCGGAGAAGAAGCCCCGGCUAACUUCGUGCCAGCAGCCGCGGUAAUACGAAGGGGGCUAGCGUUGCUCGGAAUUACUGGGCGUAAAGGGCGCGUAGGCGGAUCGUUAAGUCAGGGGUGAAAUCCCAGAGCUCAACUCUGGAACUGCCCUUGAUACUGGCGAUCUUGAGUGUGAGAGAGGUAUGUGGAACUCCGAGUGUAGAGGUGAAAUUCGUAGAUAAUCGGAAGAACACCAGUGGCGAAGGUGACAUACUGGCUCAUUACUGACGCUGAGGCGCGAAAGCGUGGGGAGCAAACAGGAUUAGAAACCCUGGUAGUCC